GGCAGGGGCGGCGCGGGGCUCGGGCUGGGCUGGGCUGGGCUGGGCUGGGCGGUGCCGGCGGGUCCCGCGGCAGAACAGCGGAGGAGCGUCCGGCCCCACGGGGGUUCGCUCGUGGAGGUGGCAGGAAACAUCGGGCCGCUCUUCAUGAAGUGAGAGUUUUCCAGGCCAGGCUUUGGAAGGAGGAGGCCCUCGUGAAAAACAAUAGGGGAUCAUGUAAUUAAAGACUAUCAUGAUGAGAUGAGCCACAGGCCUCAAUUAAAGGUCACAGUUUAGAUGCAUGAAGGAGCCUGUCCCCAGUGUCAGAUGUCCGAGGAAGGCAUCUCAAAGCAUCAUGCUCUUUGGCCCCUCUCCAGUGGCCGGGGCAUUUGGCAGAGCAAGUACCCUGUACCUGCUCCGGAUGUUUCGUUACCUCCGUGAGAUCCUAAUGGGGCAACAGCGAGGGAGCCUCGGCCUUGGCAUGGCCAGCAUGAAGAAAGAAGUUCGUUUCUUUCCCUCUCUUGUGUAGUUCCUCGUGCUGGAAGCUCCCUGCAGUGUGUGGUGCUGUGGGUACUGAAGACCUGCACUGACUCACCAAAUUUACAGUGUAUUUUAAGAGCUGGGUUUACCCCAGAUGGUAUCCUGCAAGAGCAAAAUAUUUUGUUUCUUGCCAAAUAGAAGGUAGGUCAAAUAAUUAGGGUGUUUUUUCUGCAAGUGUUGCUAGUACAUCCUUCUCUCUCACCAUGCCACUCAUCAUCUCAGAGACAAAAUUUGAUUAAAAUUUUUCUUGUGUUUUGAAACAGAAAGCGGAAGUGGGUUUUGUGUACUCUAAAAAAUUGACUGAAGAGCCACAAAUAGGUUGUCUAUUAAAAUAAGAAGGAUUUUAAGUAUCUUAAGGUCUACUCCACUUCAGCUGGGUGAUCCCCGACUUGCCAAAAUUUCAGCUCAUGUCAACCUCGUGAAGUUCCUGUCUUAAGGCCUCCUUGGCAUCAUAUAUUUCAUUAAAACUAAGUAAGCACCCAAAACUCGGCAGUCGCUGUGGCUCAUCCUCUGCAGCCUCCAGCCUCUAUAUGGGAACAGCUGCUGUGGGAUGUCCCCAGACGCUUUCAUCUGCAGGAUGGCUUCUCUGUGUCAGGACGAAACAGCCAGAACUCAGAAAUGCCAAGUUACUGCUGUUUAACGAGUUACCACAUCACUUCAACCACAGAAAUACGUUGUUUGUGCUCGUAUUUCCUGUUGGAAAUGAGAGAUUUAAGUACAUCAGCCUGAAUCUCUGCAGAUCUAAGACAGAGCGCUUUGCCUUUGCCGGGGACUGAGAGCUUUUAGCUACUGCUCCAGCACAAGGACUUGCUCAGUGGCAGGGACCACUUAAGUGUUUGAGCCCUUACAUGUAUUUUAACAAGAACUAAAUUAGCUUGGUGUAAACUGGGGACACUCAUCGUUGCUAAACAGCUCUCCUUGGCACCAGAAGCUCUUCUAGGCAUAUAUACGAGAGUGCCUCUGUUCUCAUAAUUAUAGUAUCGCUACCAGCAUGCUAUAAUUAGACAAGUUAAAAAUUGUCUGAGCUCCUACUUCUUGCUGAAAUGUGCUAAAUUCCGGAUGCGGUUGUCACUGAGAAAAAACACUUAGAAGCUUUAGCUCCAGCAUAGGCGUUAUCCUCACACCCUCCUCACCUUUCACUUCAAUGGAGCUUUUUGUGUGGACUUCUUAACGUGCAUGGAUGGUCUUUGUAAACAGCUCUUGUCUUCUUAUUAUAUACCAGGAGAAGCAUUAGCGGCUCAAUGGAGUGUAUUUUUUAAAAUAAUUCCUUUAUGCCACCUGCCAGUCUUAAGUGUCAGGGUUUUGUUAUUUUAUUACAGCAGUUUCUCACUGAGUUUGUUUGUUUUCUGUGUUUGGGGCUGUGUAGAGCAUCCUCUGAAACAUGGAAAGAAUAAUAGUUUCGUUCUUUUAUUCCGUGUGAGGGGUCUGUGCUCCUCAUCCCUUACCUCUUGCAGAUAGCAGGUGCAGGCUCUGCACGGCAUGGACAAGAGGUUCUAGCUUUGAACUGCUGCCAAAUUCAAUCAGCUGUCAUCUUCGAUGUAUCUUGGUUUCUUCAAUCUACUUUUGUGAGGGGAAAAAAAAAGCAUCACCAAGGCCUAUUUGCUUUUUGCUAUAAUCACUCCUCCUCGUAUCAUUUUGACAAGGUAGUUGCCUUGUUACAUCCCUUGUAUGGAUCAUUGGUCGUGUUGCUUUUUAUAACCAUCACAUUUUUGCUCCAACCCUGCAGUGAGAGCACUGACAGCAGCGAAAGGCAGCUCAGAGCUGACGCUUCUGGCCCAGUUCUCAUGCACAGAGUAGCAGGGGAUUCAUCAUCAGAGGCUCUCAUCAGAAAUCCCCAUUCUUCGCAUAGUUUCUUAUUUGUCUUCUAGCUCUUGGCAGGCUGUCUGCUUCCACCCACAUGGUAAAGGCUUGUCUAAUAACGGCAGCAGCGUGAAGCCAUUAAGAUCAGAAUUACUGACUAACUGAGCCUAAAUCUCCCUUUUGAUAGUGGAGAGUUGUCUUCUUUAAAGGAAAGCAGGGAGUGGGUUUCUGACAUGGAAGCAGUAAUGUGUGCUGGCCCUGAACGCUAAGUCAGGCUGAUGUGCACAUCUCUUCUUCAGCCAUGUUUGCCCUGUGCCUGCAGCAGUGAGGUCCUGCCCCAGCGCCAAGGAGCUCCCGUGGACCAUGAGCUGGAGCAGAUUUAUUAACCACCCCUCCUGCUUCCAGGAGGUAGCUUUGUUAAGCUUGGAUCCUGUGUUUUAUUUCAAGAUACGGUGCUUGCCUUUCCCCUGCCCUUUCAUCAACCCCAGCCUCUGCCAGACCCAUGCAAAAGCCAGUCAUCUAAUUUCAUCUGGAGCAUCACUCUGACAAGGAGACUUAGUGAUCCCAGCACCUGGGCUUUAAAGGAUGUCUGUCCCCAGGGGCGGCAGGAUGGGCCGCACGGGCACUGAACAUCUUUGGACUUUGCUCUGUCUAUAUAAGCACCAUGGACUAGUUGCUGUGCUAACAUGUACAUUAAGCGGUGUUUCUUACUGCUCUGUUAUACUCUACAAUAGUGUGUAUUUUGCCAUGCAUCAGCAGGGGAAGCUUACACUCCUCAAAUGAAUUAUGUGCAUAAUGUUAGCUUUAUAAAAUAUGGAUCCCCAGUUCGUGAACACGGUACAGCACCCCACACCUAAUAGCACACAUACAGAACUGUGCCAGCAACCUGCCUGGGUAGCACAGAGUAAAGAUGGUCGUCUGUUGUCCAGAUGUUAUUUUAGCUUAAACAGAGGGUAAAGGCUUCUAGGAAAAUGAAGCUUGGCUAUUUAAACUCAUUUUUUGCCUGGUGGACUGUGUGUGUACAAUUUUCAUUCCUGGUAAACCCCAGAAUGCAUCAGGCAGACCACAGGUCAGUGAGAUGGGUCCCUCCUCUGGAAAACAAGCAAUUUGCACAAAUGUCCUGGUGUCUGGAAGAUGAAGGAAGGGUUGGAAUAAGUGUCUGUAGGCUUAUAGCUGUGGAGUAGCUCCCUGCAAAACCUUGGCCUGUCUGAUCUUUUCACGUUUCUCUUUCCCUUUGCAAUGAACCCUUUCUCCCAGGAAGAUGGAGUCUUCUUUGGAGAGUCUUGCAGAUGACACUCAUUCCCCUGAACAGUGUCUGUGAUGUCUUUUUUCAGGCUAUAGUGCCAUGGUCAGCUUAGUCUGGCUGCCAUCAAAGGCCUGGUCUGCUACUUUGCUCAUCACUUUUUGCAACUGCUUGUUCCAGCUGUCCAUUGUUGCCAUUUGCCUGGUCUCAGGGUUGAACCCUGGCUGGAAACUAACCCAGCACAAGCAGGAUUUGCAGGAAGUCUGCACCAGCAUGAGGGAAUUAAACUGGUCCCAGGCAGUUCUCUGGCACUGAGGGUGCCUGUGCCCAUGCUGCCAGACCCACUGUGGAGUGACCACCCACAGCCUCAGUUGAGAGUGGUGCUUCCUUGUGCCAGCCUCGAAAUCAUAAACAGGAGCUUGGCUGGCAGGUGGCUAGGAGGCAUUGCUCUUCUUAUUUAAGCAUGGAUGCCUGAGCUCCAGUGGCUGGUCACAUUUCCUGGCACGGCUUCAUUAAAUGAAUAGGUGUGGUCCAUAUGGCUGUGCGACCGAUGAACAAAGCCCUACCAUGGAAGAAGGCCCAGAGGAGGUAGGCAAGGAGAAAGCUUCAUGGGGUGUGCUCAUGAAGCUCAGGAAAGAACAUAGGAAGUGACCGCAGCUAUGGUAAAGGAAGCUGAACUUACGUAACCACAAAGGGGACCGGAGGGUGGCCUUUGUUGUAGACAGACCACUGUAUCAGUUGAGUGGAUCAACUGACUGCGUAAAUGGCCUUCCCUAGAAUAGUCAGCAGAAAGUAUUAUCUUCCUGAGUCAGCCAGACCCACAUGGGAAAGCAUAUAUAUGGCUCAGCCCAACAUGGAGUAUAAAAAUUGAACUACUGACAAAAUGAACAGUGGAGAGAACAAUGGCCUUGAGCUGGCUUCAAACCCACCUAUUGCUUCCCAGCAAAUGGAGAUGCCCAGCAUUGUGACAGUGAGCAUAUAGAGACCGGUAAUGAGAAUCGUGUUUGUAUUGCGAUUCAGCUGCGUAUUGCAACUGUUAUGUCAUGCUCGUGUUGUGAUUUCAAUAUGUUCCUGUAUCGGUCUGUGAAAUCAAAGUCCCAUGUAACAACAAAUAUUAUCAAAUAAGUAAUUUAGUAUCAAACAUCAAA